ensembl:lncRNA
CUUGCAGAGGCUGCCUGGGGAGCUCUAUUUUUAGAGGAGCCUCUGCAUUAUGCAUGAAAUAGAAGGGAGGGAAGGUGGUAAUUUAUAGGAAAUUACAACAGGGAGCGGCAUCAGACCCUUGGCUGAAGCGUGGGGUCAAUCAGACACCUGCACAGAGCACAGGGCCACGUCUGCAGGAGCUGGAGGGGAAGGCUUGCUGCAUCACAGCCCACAGCCCUGCUGCCAGCUGCAAGCAAUUGCAGCUUAUAGGGAGCUAUAAAGGGCAGGGAUGGAGGGCUGGGGCUGCCCUUCUCCCCGUGUGGUGGGGGAGCAGAGUGGGGAAUGCAGAGCUGAGUGUGCUGCAAAGUUCCUGCGUCCUCUGAUCUCCGAAUGGACGGCCAAACAAGAACAAAACUGGUCAAGAAUUCAGCUGCAGGAAAAUCCAUAUGGAAGAUUUCCUCUCUCUUUGUUGGUCUGAAGCAACAGAAGUAUUAUCUGCGUUCGAAAGGAGCUGAAGACUGGUGCCAGAGCAGUCACAUCUGAAAGCCUCUCUCAUCUAAGAUUCAAGAAAAUGGCUUCUUGUCUAACAGUAAACGACAUUAUUAAUUUAUAUGGCAUUUCUGUGCCAACAAAAAGUCUGAAGAAGUGCCAUUUUGCCUUGACGCUGACACAAAGCAGCCCUGACGGGUCCUCCUUACCCUUCCCAAUGGUCGGAGGAGCAGGCAGGCGGCGCUUUGCUGCUCUGCCUUUGGGAAGCUCAGGGUGGUGGAGCCGCUCCCGGCGCCUCCCAGCACAGCACAGCGUUCCCUCCUGGCUCCUGAACGGCCCCAGGUGCAGAGCUGGCCCUGAUAGGGCUCUGAUGGAGCUCUGACACGUGGCCGUGGGAUCCGGGCUCCCGUGUGGCCAAAGCUGCCUUCCCACGGCUGCGGUGUGUGCAGUGCAGAUGGGAGGAGGCAAAAAAGCAUUCCCUGGAAGUGGGCACACCAACCUGUUCCCUAUGGACACAGGGCUGAGCAUCGCCACGUGCUGGGGCUGCUCGCAGUGGUGCCACGCAGCCCUCUCACCCGCUCUAUAGGCUUUGCUGUGUGCUUCCCCCCCCCUUCCUGAUGGAUGGCCAAGCGAUUUGUCUUCGCCGCAGAACAAGAUGCAUAAAGCUUGACAAAUGGCGGGGAGAAGCGUUUCUCACGCCGGAAUAAUUCAGUUUGAUUGGAAUCCUCUGCUGUGCUCCUCUGCGAGCUGCUGCGGGAUGGGAAUCACUCAGUGAAAGGGAGGGGGAGAGAGAGCAGUGGGGCUGGGAAGGGCUGGGGAUGCUGGCACCACCGCUUGCCCGUGGCAUAGGGACAUUCCCACCUGGAAUCCCACCUCAGGGCCAGAUGUGGGCCCUGAGUCCGUGCUGAUGGCAGUUCCUCACCUGGGCACUUUUCUGCCUCUUCACUCGGGCUUUGGCAGUGCUUUUUUAGUUUAAAAUCCAAAUGUCACCCUAAGGCUUGAAUCAAGCGUCUUGCAAAAAAACCUGGGAGGCUAAAUAUAGUUAAUUUGCACUGUAACCUUCAGCAGCC